ensembl:lncRNA
GUUUUCCUGGUUCUGCUCCUCUCACUCUGCAUCAAUUCCUGGAGGUCGUUCCAGUCCCCAUGGAAUUCCUCCACUUUAUUAUUCCUUUUAGCACAAUAGUAUUCCAUCACCAACAUAUACCACAAUUUGUUCCGCCAUUCCCCAAUUGAAGGGCAUCCCCUCAUUUUCCAAUUUUUUGCCACGACAAAGAGUGCAGCUAUGAAUAUUCUUGUACAGGUCUUUUUCCUUAUUAUCUCUUUGGGAUACAAACCUAGCAGUGCUAUGUCUGGGUCAAAGGGCAGACAUUCUUUUAGUACCCUUUGGGCAUAGUUCCAAAUUGCCCUCCAGAAUAGUUGGACCAAUUCAUGGUAAACUGUUUGAGAGUCUUUUUUUUUUUUAAUAUAAAAGUAGGCUUCCUUAGAGAAAGUAAUGUGGAUAAACAGACAAAUCACUAAGCUGAUGCCAUUUUUAUAAAAGACAAAUUGGGAGAUGGAGGCAAAGGCAGGAGGAAUCAUCCUGCAAUGGAUUAUCAACCUUGAAUUAAAGAUAAAAAUACAAACAUGGCUCAAUUCUGAAACAAUAGUUUUAUUCAAUCUCAGAUUAAACCAAGGCUGUAGAAGAACAGUAAAGGCAAAAAAAAAGAUAUUCUUUCUUUCUUUCUUUCUUUCUUUUUUUUUUUUUGUAAAGCUACAUUAGAUAAAAAGGAAGAUCAAAGAGGGGACAACAGGAUUAUGGGUAGGGUGGAAAUAAUGGUAUUCAUGAUGAAGAGAAGGCAAAAUUAUUCAACUGAUAUUUUGCUUCUUUUCUCUGUUACAGAAAAACUUUGUAAUGAAAAAGAAGGAUCAAAAAUGGCCAACAUGGAGUUAAGACCUAAGGGGCUGACUCUCCUCCUUGUGACCUGUCUGCCAAUGGGAGAAGCAGUCAUGGGACAUCCUUCAGAUCUCCAGGCAGGUCCCCACCUACCUAGGACCCAGGCAUUCACCGAGGACACGCCCCUAAAGACCAUGUGUCUGCAGCCUUUCCCUCCCUCUUCAAGUUUUGGCUACUCCUCUAUGGGAUAUAUAUUUGUAUACAUUUCUAACCUUGUCACUUCUCUAGUUACUUCUAGUGUAGAAGCACUCAUGGGAGUCACCCAGAUGCCACUGUAAACUUGGUAACUAUUCUAGCCUGAAGUCCUGGACAUUGCCUAUAGUCAAUACCUCUCUCCUAGGGACAGCUCUACAACAAUUCUCAGCUCUGAAGAAGCUACAGAAGACUGAGACCAUCACCCCUUUUCCCUUAGAUAUUUGAAGGGGGGAAGUGUCAUAGGCACUGUAUACCCAGAAACUCAGGCAGACUAUUGUCAGGGAAAUUCCUUUGCUCCCUUACAUCCUCGUGAUGCUGAUCAUACAAGGCUAGUUAAUCACUGAGUAGGCUUUGUCAAGGAUCGCAUUAAUUCAGUCCAGCUCAUGGUCCUUAGACUGCAUUAUCAACCCCUUGCAACUUGCCCAGCCCCUUAUGAUGAGGCCAUCUCCAUGGAUGAUUCAUCAUGUUUCAUGAAAAGAAGUGGGGAAUGAAGGAGGUUAAAUGACCGCCCCCUGGGGCAUCAGGGGUAAACUCUUGCCCAAGUCAGUAUAACCAUUCCAGCAGCUAAGCAGACACUCCCUGUAAGGUAAACAUCUCAAUCCAAAAUAUUCUGUUAUUCACAUUUCAUUCAAGCCUCCCAUGCUAUAUAAAGUAUGCCCCUAGCUGAGCCGGGUGUGGCUCCUCUUUUGGGGCAACCCUAGCAUGCUGGUAAUAAAGGUGAUCCAUUGCCUAC